GCCUCCAUAGCUCAGUUGGUAGAGCACCGCACUUGUAAUGCGACGGUCGUUGGUUCGAGUCCGACUGGGGGCU
rnacentral:tRNA from 1 species